GGAAAGUAAAGUAAGCAGUCACUGUAAUAAAGAAAAAUGGGGGAAAAGUUGUUCCUCCCAAUGAUCGAAUCUCCUGCACUUGCGAUGCCUCCAAUCCGCUCACUACUUCAAUUCAUAUCAUGAAGACAAGGAAAGACAAGAACUCACCAUGAUAAUUGGUAAUGCAUCAACAUAUUGUUGUGGUAUUGCUAUGAUUGCCUUGGACAUGUUAUUUUCAGUACGCUAAUAUUGGAGCUCCAAAGGUCUGCACUUGAACCCAAGGGUAAUGCAGGGAAAUCUGCUAUCGAUGAAAGCUGACCAGCCAUCAUGGAUGGCUAGCCGGCAACCACAAUACUCAUCCCAAAGCUAGGGUUGUGGGGUCAUCCUCCAGCGGUGCAUUUUAUAAUUGUUACAUCAACAUUGUCAAAUCAUCUCUUUUGGUGAAAAUAACAUAUAAAAAUUGUUGCAUUUACAUGG